rnacentral:rRNA from 1 species
AUACGGAGGGGGUUAGCGUUGUUCGGAAUUACUGGGCGUAAAGCGCACGUAGGCGGAUUGGAAAGUUGGGGGUGAAAUCCCAGGGCUCAACCCUGGAACUGCCUCCAAAACUAACAGUCUAGAGUUCGAGAGAGGUGAGCGGAAUUCCAAGUGUAGAGGUGAAAUUCGUAGAUAUUUGGAGGAACACCAGUGGCGAAGGCGGCUCACUGGCUCGAUACUGACGCUGAGGUGCGAAAGCGUGGGGAGCAAACAGGAUUAGAAACCCUAGUAGUCC